GAUGAGAUUUGAACUCUACCAUCUACCAUGCCAAGCUUCUUCCUUCCCAUAAGAAGGAACAACAGUUCCCAAAUUUAUAGCACUCUGGUGUAAAUAAAAGGCUUUCCUCUCAAUGAUCCUCUGAGCACGCACGUAUUGAUUAAUUGAAUUAAAGUGUCUGUCACGUUGCGGGAGGGAGAUCUUCUGGACAGCUCACUGACAGCAUCAGGAUCUCUUCCUUCGGCACCAGGCUCUCAGGGGACACAGCCGGGUCAGCUCAAAGUGUUCUUCCCCAUCCAGUGCAGGCAGAUGCACUCUAGACUUGUUCUACCAUGCUCUAGGUCUCCAUUGUGAAGUCUCACUGAAACCCUGGAAUUCACACAUUGGAAAUAUCCUCUGUUCCUCUAAUUGGAUGUCAGUCCUAGAACUACCAUUUAAGGAGGGUGCCCAGGUUCUAUGAAAUAAUUCUUUGGGAGUUUGAUUGGUAUGGCACUGAACAAUUGAGAAAAAGGAGAGGUUAAAUGCCUUGAUCAAAAGCACACAAAUAGUUAAAGGAGAAACCAAUAUUAGAAGAGAAUUUUUUGACUGCAGUUGGAUUCUCCUCCCACAUACAGGGAUGCCUCAGAUGGAUGAAGGUAGGUCACAAUGAAAGUCAAGGAGAGGUUUUACAAAAGUGAGGUUACUUUGAGAAGGCAGAGGUCCAAAAGGUAGGCGUUCAGGGAAAGAAAGAAAAAAAGAAUUUGGCUCCUUAAUUUUUUUAAUUAAAAGGAUAUUACCAUAAUGGUCCUCUCCCUCAUUAGCAAAUAUUUAUAAUCACCACCUACUCUGUUGGAGGCACAGCUCCAGACACAAGAUCAAAGAGUAAUAAAGAAGUACAUAAGAAAG
rnacentral:lncRNA from 1 species